rnacentral:rRNA from 1 species
UGAGGAAUAUUGGUCAAUGGACGAGAGUCUGAACCAGCCAAAUCGCGUGAAGGAAGACUGCCCUACGGGUUGUAAACUUCUUUUGUACAGGAAUAAAAGACAUUACGUGUAAUGUAUUGCAUGUACUGUACGAAUAAGCAUCGGCUAACUCCGUGCCAGCAGCCGCGGUAAUACGGAGGAUGCGAGCGUUAUCCGGAUUUAUUGGGUUUAAAGGGUGCGCAGGCGGGAUUUUAAGUCAGCGGUGAAAUUUUCAGGCUCAACCUGAACACUGCCGUUGAAACUGGGAUUCUUGAGUAUGGAUGAAGUAGGCGGAAUUCGUUGUGUAGCGGUGACAUGCUUAGAUAUAACGAGGAACUCCGAUUGCGUAGGCAGCUUACUAGGCCAUAACUGACGCUCAAGCACGAAAGCGUGGAGAGCAAACA